UGUUGGGUCGCGGUUCCCGCGCGCAGAGUUUAAAGGGCCGAGGCCGCGCCGUCCGCCCCGCCCUCGGCUCCCCCCGCUGGCGCUGGAGGCCGGGGUCUGUCUGCCGCACCCGCACCUAGCAGGCGCCAGAGAUGCGGCGCUUCUUAGCCGAGUUCCGUCUGCUCGGCCGCUGGGCUCGCUGACAGUGACCCUUGUUGGCGCCCCGACUGCCCCGUGCUGUGACGGUGGGCCUCGACUUCCCCAUGUGUGUAAGGAGGGGUGGCUACAGAACUGCUCGCGGCGUGUCCCCUCUCCCACCCUAGACCGAUGCCGCAAGGCCGCGGCGAGGGUCCCCAGCCCUCGCCGCGGGGACAGUACACUUGCCAUACCAGAGCGAUCUGGGGCGACCCGGCGAGUCCGAGCCUGGCAGUCACCGAGAGGGGGCCAGCGAGGGGCGCGGAAGCAGCACAGCGCAGAGGACGGGGAAGGGCACGCCCAGCCUGUGCUCAUCGGAGCGUGCGGGAAGGGACUGGGGCGGCUUCUGUCUUCGCGCGUUCCUUGGGCCCAGCUUGACUCAAGGCAAGGCCUCCUAAACAGUUGUGAGUGGAUGAAUGAAUGAACGAAUACAGUGGCUUUGAAGUGUGAAUGUGAUGGCUUCAGAUCCAGCAGCCGUUCUGAAAGACAGAAGGAAUCUGAGCCGUUGACUUGAUGGAAGGAGCAUCUGCCUAGACUGCCCAGUUCUGAAUGCCUUUUAUGUGAGAGACAAAUAAACUAUGGUCUUGCUUAAGCCAC